rnacentral:lncRNA from 1 species
AAAUUUCUACAGUUUCUCCUCCGUCGUCCUGCUAAUGGCAUUCUUCCUUCUCAGUUGUUCUGUCUUGUCGAUUUGUAGAACUCGGAAAACAAGUGAAGUGAGGAGACCAAACAAGUGAAGCGAGGAGACCUGGAGGAGUUCCGGUGAGCUACAGGUUAGUUCUCUUCCUCUCUUCUUCAGGCACUGUUUCUUUGCAAUAUUCUACACUUCAAUUCAAAACUUUCUCUUCUGUAGCUCUCAUCGUCAUGCUGUUUCUUGGACUGAGUGGUUAAUGUUUGGUUUCUAGCGUUGAUUACGGUUAGUUCUUGCUUCGUUUCUUGGUAGAUUCUCACAGGUAACUGAAAUGGAGUUCGAUCUGCUACUUGGUUUUGGAUAACUACGAUUCCUCUCACUUGGUUUAUCAUGCAAUUUAAUUUAUCACGGCAAGCUGCAGUAGUGAUAAAUAUAUACCCACUUCUGAAGCUGUGCAAUUAGAAAAAUUGUGGAGGACGAGAAUUAGCUUAGGGACAAAUAAAGAUGCUGUUGUACAUGGUUGUAGGGGGAAGUCUCCUAGGUUCAGUGAUGAAUUAUUGAUCAAUACUUUAUUUUGAAAAUUGAUCUUUACAUUAUCUAAAAAUAAUCUUAUUAGAAUUUGCUACAUUCUAGAUUUGAAAUUAUAGACUGAGAUAUUUGACUUUUAGCUUUUAGUAUUAGCAUGUCUUAGGUGUAGCUGAAGGUAUUGCUCAAUUGUAGUCUUUGUUGGGUAUUACAUUACCCAUGAAGUUGGUGUUCAUAUGCCAAAAAAAAUCCCAUUUAAAUUCAGCUCCAUAUAUUUGAUUGAUUCAUUAUUUCUAUCCUUGGUCCUCCAGGUGCUGCCACUAAAUUAGCUUUGUGUGUCUCCUAGGUUCAGCUAUAAGUUUCAGUUUUAGUUCGAAGUGUUAAAUACUUGAAAUUAACUAGAAGGGUUCAGGUUCAGUUUGAAUUUAAGUUUCUCUUUCCUUAUUUGAGUUUUAGGAUUAAGUUUCAGUUUCGUUUUAAUUUUUUCUAAGAAGGGUUGUACACUGUUGGAUGCUCAGUUUGUUUAUACAAGAGAAAGUGAUAUCAAUAGUACAGGGCUGAUGCUUGUGAUUUCUUGUGUUAGCUUCGUUUUCAGCUCAAUAGCUCAGGGAGUGUCUGGUUAUCAACAAAACAAAAAACUGACUGAGACCCAAAAAAUAUUUCAGGUAGCUGAAAAUUAGUCUCUCCCUUUAGCUUUCACUAUUUCCUGGCUACCCAGCAUGAAUAGUACAAGUAUCAGAUUGGCAUGUUCAACAAAUAAUAACCACAGUACGCGAAUUAGUACCUAUUUGCUGUUUCUGUUAGAUACUGUACCAAGUUUUGCUCUGCCAUGGGAUCUAGAUAGUUAGGGGAGAUCAUGUUUCAUUUCAGAUUAUUAGAGCUGAUGUUAUUUUUUUCCAAACAGUAGAAGGACGAAGAGGAGGAGGUGCUGGAGCUUGUCAGCCACCACUACAUCCAUCAAAACUUCCUUCGGGGGUAUUUCUUUCUCUUUUUCUGAACUUUUCUGUGUCAAACCGCAAAAAGGCUGAGAGUGUAUUUCUAUUUCUUGGUGCCCUUAAAAACCUGUCAAAGGUACCACCCUGAUCCAUAUUUUUCUAUUAUGGCUUUGUGUUCAUUGUAGUUUAACACAUGUUAAAAUAUCAUAAAAUGAUGAAUACUGUGCACUCAAUCAACCAAGGACCAGUCAUGCCAAUUGUUUGUUUAAAUAUUCCAGAGUGGCACUCCAUAAAAGAAUGUUGAAAUGGAAAAAUUAUUCCACAUGUUCUGAAAAGUAUAAUAUGAAGACAAAAAUGAUGAAUUUAAAAGUAAGUCGGAUCUUAAAAGUAACAUUGAGGUGGAAAGCACAAUUACAAAUGGUCACAAUGUAAAAUAAAGCUCUGGUUCUCAGUUCUAAAUUAUUCCCUAUUUUCUUUGAGUUAACCUACAAAGUAAUACAACAUUUUGACAGUCAAUUCCUUAUUUUUCUAUGAGUUCAUGUUUUUAAGGCUUAAUUUGCUUGCCUGGUAAUUCUAAACCUAUAGGGUAGUAUUUACUUUAUGUGUGCCAUCGAUUAACUACUUUUAACAUUGGUCACAGGAGAAGAAGCAUAGGCAGGCUGUGAAGGAGGC